rnacentral:misc_RNA from 1 species
AAAAUGCGAUACGCAAUGCGAAUUGCAGAAUUCCGCGAAUCAUCAGAUUCUUGAACGCAACUGGCGCUGGAGGGAUAUCCUUCCAGCAUGUCUGUUUCAGUGUCUGAUAACCUCACAUCUAAACAUAGUGUGUUUGACAAGGAUGAUGUGUAUGUCUGAAAUAUGACUAUUUCAUCUUCUAAGUCUUACAUGAAAGAUGUAUGUGUGGGUCUUUGGAUCCAUCGAAUUGGUCACUGACACUUCAGUGAUUUCGAUUGGAUUAUCCAAUUACCUGUAUGCACAUAGAAUAUUUAAUAUUCAUACUUUAAUAUCUGCAUCUGAAAUCAGGCAAGAACACCCGCUGAACUUAA